rnacentral:lncRNA from 1 species
CAGAGGGCGGUGGCAAGUGCGGCCUCGACGGUCUCGGAGACGAAGAGGGCGAGAAAUGCACGAAAGAAUCUCUGGAUUAGUACUUUUAUUUGUUUAAAACAAAAAAAAACUAAAAGGCCAAAAAAUAGAGAAUAAUAAAGAAAACUAGAGAAUAAGGAAGAAGAAGAUGAAUUUGCAUUGUUAAGAUUAAAUUGCACUGUUUUAAAAGAACGUUGCACUAUUAUGGACGUAAGUUGCAUUUUUUUAAAUGUAAACUGCACCUUUUAAGAUGAAAGCUACACUCUUUAAACGAAUGUUGCACUCUUUGAGAGAUAUUUACACUGUUUCUCCUUUUAUUGCACUCUUUAAAAGGAGAUAUUUACACUAUUUCUUCUCUUGUCGUACUAUUUCUUCUCUUGUUGCACUAUUUCUCCUCUUGUUGCACUAUUUUUUCUGUUAAAGGGUGCAGUUUACACAUCAACACAUCAAAGGAGAAAUAAUACAACAAGAGAAGAAAUAGUGUAAAUGUUUCCUCUUAAAGAGGGCAACAAGAGGAUAAACAGUAUAAAUAUCUCUCAAAGAGUGCAACUUUCGUUUAAAGAGUAUAGCUUUCAUCUUAAAGGGUGCAGUUUACAUUUAAAAAAAUGCAAGUUACGUUCAUAAUAGUGUAACGUUCUUUUAAAACAGUGAAAUUUAAUCUUAACAAUGCAAAUUCAUCUUCUUCUUCCUUCUUCUCUGAUUUUCUUUAUUAUUCUCUAGUUUUUGGUCUUUUAGUUUUUU